CCUACGGGAGGCAGCAGUGAGGAAUAUUGCACAAUGGGGGAAACCCUGAUGCAGCGACGCCGCGUGAGUGAAGAAGUAAUUCGUUACGUAAAGCUCUAUCAGCAGGGAAGAAAAUGACGGUACCUGAGUAAGAAGCCCCGGCUAACUACGUGCCAGCAGCCGCGGUAAUACGUAGGGGGCAAGCGUUAUCCGGAUUUACUGGGGGUAAAGGGAGCGUAGACGGUGCGCCAAGUCUGGAGUUAAAUGCCGCAGCUUAACUGCGGAACUGCUAUGGAAACUGGCGAACUAGAGUGCGGGAGGGGGAAGCGGAAUUCCUAGGGUAGGGGUGAAAUGCGUAGAUAUUAGGAGGGACACCGGUGGGGGAGGCGGCUUACUGGACCGUAACUGACGUUGAGGCUCGAAAGCGUGGGGAGCAAACAGGAAUAGGUACCCGGGUAGUC
rnacentral:rRNA from 1 species